UACGUAGGCAGCGAGCGUUGUUCGGAAUUACUGGGCGUAAAGAGUGUGUAGGCGGUGCUCUAAGUUCGGUGUGAAAUCUACAGGCUCAACUUGUAGUCUGCAUGAGAAACUGCCGGGCUUGAGUAUGGGAGAGGUGAGUGGAAUUCCUGGUGUAGCGGUGAAAUGCGUAGAUAUCAGGAGGAACACCUGUGGCGAAAGCGGCUCACUGGACCAUAACUGACGCUGAGGCGCGAAAGCUAGGGGAGCAAACAGG
rnacentral:rRNA from 1 species